rnacentral:miRNA from 1 species
AACCCGUAGAUCCGAUUUUGU